rnacentral:rRNA from 1 species
GACGAACGCUGGCGGCGUGCCUAAUACAUGCAAGUCGAGCGGACAGAAGGGAGCUUGCUCCCGGACGUUAGCGGCGGACGGGUGAGUAACACGUGGGCAACCUGCCCCUUAGACUGGGAUAACUCCGGGAAACCGGAGCUAAUACCGGAUAAUCCCUUUCUCCACCUGGAGAGAGGGUGAAAGAUGGCUUCGGCUAUCACUAGGGGGAUGGGCCCGCGGCGCAUUAGCUAGUUGGUAAGGUAACGGCUUACCAAGGCGACGAUGCGUAGCCGACCUGAGAGGGUGAUCGGCCACACUGGGACUGAGACACGGCCCAGACUCCUACGGGUGGCAG